GACGAACCGUGCGAACGUUGUUCGGAUUCACUGGGCUUAAAGGGCGCGUAGGCGGCGGCUCAAGUCGGGGGUGAAAUCCUCUCGCUUAACGAGAGAAUUGCUUUCGAUACUGGGUCGCUGGAGGGAGAUAGGGGUGCGCGGAACUUCCGGUGGAGCGGUGAAAUUCGUAGAUAUUCGGAAGAACACCAGUGGCGAAGGCGGCUCACUGGUCCGGUACUGACGCUGAGGUGCGAAAGCGUGGGGAGCAAACAGG
rnacentral:rRNA from 1 species